CCUGAACAGAGAUUUUUUUUUUUUGCCAGUAAUAUGGUCCCUUUGAGGGGUUUCCCUGGUAGCUCAGCUGGUAAAGAAUCCACCUGCAAUGCGGGAGACCUGGGCUUGAUCCCUGGGUUGGAAAGAUCCCCUGGAGAAGGAAAUGGCUACUCACUCCAGUAUUCUGGCCUGGAGAAUUCCAUGGACCGUAUAGGGAUCUCGGGAUCGAGACUGAGUGACUUUCACUUUCACUAUGGUCCCUUUGUACUUUACUGAAGUUAGCCCUAGAUGAAUCUAGGAAGCAGGGGAUCUAGUACAGGGACUGGAGGUUGAAGAAAGGGGAUGGGGAACAUUUUGAUCAUGCAAUGCGAUUCUCUAGAAGGGCUCUGAUAGCACCAUUGUCAUUAUCACAUUGGCUCCUGUCUACUUCAUGACCAUUUGCAAUAUUUAUUGAGCACCUACUCUGUGCCAGUUCCUAAGGAUGCAGUGGUCUUAGUUGCAGCAUGCAGGAUCUAGUUCCCUGACCAGAGAUCGAACCUGGGCCCCCUGCACUGAGAGCAUGGAAUCUUAACCACUGGACCACCAGCACUAUUUCUGGAAGAGAAGGGGAGAAGCUUCAGACCUUGAUUGGAAAAGAAAGAUCGACAGGAGGAAGGACUUCCCCAGGGGGAAUGACCCUGGAGUCCUAGGCUCUAUCUACAGAAGACAGAACAAAUAAAAAUGCACCACAGCUGUUACUAGCGUGAACAUAACAUAAUAGACCUCAGGGGCUGGGAAUUCAGGCCUUGUGCUUGGGGGUUGGAGAGAGA
ensembl:lncRNA